GGUCAACGCUGGCGGUGUGCUUAAGACAUGCAAGUCGAACGGCAGUCCUCGGACUGUAGUGGCGCACGGGUGAGUAACGCGUAACUGACCUACCCCAAAGUCGCGGAUGACGAUUCGAAAGAAUCGCUAAUACGUGAUGUGCUGUCAGAUCCUGUCCUGCCAGUAAAGAUUGAUUGCUUUGGGAUGGGUUGCGUUCCAUCAGCUAGUUGGUGGGGUAAAGGCCCACCAAGGCGACGACGGAUAGCCGGCCUGAGAGGGUGGCCGGCCACAGGGGCACUGAGACACGGGUCCCACUCCUACGGGAGGCAGCAGUUAGGAAUCUUCCACAAUGGGCGAAAGCCUGAUGGAGCGACGCCGCGUGAGGGAUGAAGGUCUUCGGAUCGUAAACCUCUGAAUCAGGGACGAAAGACACUUCGGUGGGAUGACGGUACCUGAGUAAUAGCACCGGCUAACUCCGUGCCAGCCGCCGCAGUAACAC
rnacentral:rRNA from 1 species